rnacentral:tRNA from 1 species
GGUUUCAUAGUGUAGCGGUUAGCACGUCUGUUUUACACACAGAAGGUCCUGGGUUCGCACCCCAGUGGAGCCA